rnacentral:rRNA from 1 species
GAUGAACGCUGGCGGCGUGCCUAAUACAUGCAAGUCGAGCGGCAGCACGGUCUUCGGACUGGUGGCGAGCGGCGGACGGCAGAGUAACGCGUAGGAACAUGCCCCAAAGUGAGGAAUAACUGCCCGAAAGGGUGGCUAAUGCCGCAUAUGCUCUUCGGAGUAAAGCUUUAUGCGCUUUGGGAGCGGCCUGCGUCUGAUUAGCUUGUUGGUGAGGUAAUAGCUCACCAAGGCGACGAUCGGUAGCUGGUCUGAGAGGAUGAUCAGCCUGACUGGAACUGAGAACGGUCCAGACUCCUACGGGAGGCAGCAGUAGGGAAUUUUCCACAAUGGGCGAGAGCCUGAUGGAGCAACGCCGCGUGCAGGAUGAAGGCCUUCGGGUUGUAAACUGCUUUUGUACGGAACGAAAAGGUUUGGCCUAAUAAGCUGAGCUCAUGACGGUACCGUAAGAAUAAGCACCGGC